ensembl:snoRNA
CCUGCUCCUAGAGAUCUUGCAGGCAUGGGUACCAUGUCACAUGGGCAGCAGGAGGUGGGAGAGAGGAGAGAGGUCAUGUCUAUGCUCAGUGUUCUGGCCUGUGGACAUCUGAAUGAUCAGGAGCCUAACAGU